GGCCUCGGAUCAGGUAGGAGUACCCGCUGAACUUAAGCAUAUCAAUAAGCGGAGGAAAAGAAACCAACAGGGAUUGCCUCAGUAACGGCGAGUGAAGCGGCAAAGGCUCAAAUUUGAAAUCUGACCCUUCGGGUCCGAGUUGUAAUUUGCAGAGGAUGUUUCGGGUAAGAUUUAGGUCUAAGUUCCUUGGAACAGGACGUCAUAGAGGGUGAGAAUCCCGUACGUGACCGUUGAUCGCACCCAUGUGAAACUCCUUCGACGAGUCGAGUUGUUUGGGAAUGCAGCUCAAAAUGGGUGGUAAAUUUCAUCUAAAGCUAAAUAUUGGCCAGAGACCGAUAGCGCACAAGUAGAGUGGUCGAAAGAUGAAAAGCACUUUGAAAAGAGAGUUAAACAGUAUGUGAAAUUGUUGAAAGGGAAGCGC
rnacentral:rRNA from 1 species